AUAAAUCCUAGUCAUAUUAGGAUAACAAUUAAUAACCGAUUUGGCCUUAUCUCUAACGCCAUAAGGAUUUUGGAAUCCCUUAUAAAUAUGCGGGCGAUCCCACAUAACGUAAUAUACGGAAAGAACCGAAAAAGAAAGAGAAUAAGAAAAUAAUAGAGAGAAACCACAUCCUCCAUUGACCUAUUAUUCUAGAGGGACUUGCACGGUGGAUUUGCAAUCGCGCUCGUUUGUAGUUCGAUCCACCGCGAGUUCGUGGAGCGUGAGAAGACAUUCAAGGACGAUCCGAGGACACGUGAAUCAAUCUAAACGAUCCGGGCUCAUCGCGUUGUUGCGCGAAUCGCUUCCGCAAAAGGUACGAACCAAUAUUUCCGCUGCGUUGUACAUUGGUAUCAGAGCCUUUUUUGGUUGAUUUCGUGGUCUUGAUACAUCCUUUAACGAGAUUACAUGCAUUAAAUUAAAUCUAUCAUGUUUUAGAUUUUUUCUUGCAUGUAUGUGAUCGUUUAUGGCGUUUUUUUUUUUUUUCAUAAGUGGAUAUCUUUGCAUGAUUUUUACACAUCUUGAAGCACCAAAGUUGUAGAUUAGAUCUAUAAAUUUUGAUUUCAUUUGGUUUUGUAUUUUAUGAGAAAAACGAAACCCUAAAUCGGAACUUUGGGUGACUUAUUUAUGUGUGAUGCAUAUCCCAUUGUGAAACUUGAAUGAUUUGGAAGAACUCCUCACAAGCUUUCUAUCGACAUAUUUCUUGUCUGAAUCGGAUUUCUAAAUCUCAAGUUAUGAAUUUUUGAAGAUUUACAAUCUUAAAAAAAAAAAAAUUCCUGUACGGAAGACCACGCUGCUUGGAGCCGCCUGGGUGCGCACGCAGACCGCGUGCAGGCCGCCGGCCGUGCGGGGGCCGCGCAGCCCAUGCGGGCCGCGCAUGCCGCGCAGGCCGCAGGCUGUGCAGCCCACGCGGGCCACACAGGCCGCAGGCCGCUCCUAGACCGCGCAGCCCACGCGAGCCGCGUAGGGCGCGGGCCGCGCAGCCCACGCUGACCGCGCGCACGCCGCCGGCCGUGCGGGCCAUGCGCCUCGCGGGCCACGCAGGACGCGGGCCGCUCAGCCCCGCGUAGCCCACGCAGGCCGCGAGCCUCGCGCGGUCUGCGCAGCCCACGCGGGCAGCGCCGACUGCGGGCCGCGCAGCCCACGCGGGCCGCGCGGGCCAAUUGCUGGCCGCGCGCGGGGGCUGCGCGCAGGCCUUGCUUGGGCCGGGCCGCGAGCGGGCCUGCGGGCCUGCUGAUUUUUUUUUUCUUUUGUCUCUGCACUUUUUUUUAUUAAAAAUAUAUUUUUAAAAAAAAUGGGGGUGUAUUUGAUGAUUAAUAUGCUUUUGUGAUUCUAUAUGCUUUUAUGAUAUAGAUAAUUAGCAUGCAUUUAAAAUGUGAUAAUGCCUUUUAUGAUGUAUAUAUAGAUGUAACUUUAGGCAUAUGUAUUUUAUGCAUGUCUUAUCUAGAGGGAGUCUUUUGACUUUGGUAGAGUAAAUUAUAUGCUUUUUACUCCCAAUUUUUUGUGCAUCUUAAUUAAAUAAAUUAAAAAUUAUGACAUAUGGUGUGUGAUGUGAUUACGAGCAUAGCAUAAUUUUCCUUUACGCAUGUAUGAUCUAUUUUUUAAUUUAUUUAAUUAGAGAUGCGGCAAAAUUGAAUAUAUGUAUCGUGUACUGAUUUUAAAAUAUACUUUCUGCGCAUUGUAUGAACAAAGUGAGAUUUAAUGGCCUCCAAGCAAAUAGUUGCUGAUUUAAACAAGGGCGAGAAAUUGGAUGGUGACAAUUAUGAUAUUUGGCACCGUAAAAUUCAAUAUGUUCUCGCUGAGCAAGAAGUCCUGGAAAACCUGAGCAAUAAAAUAGACCAACCCACGGAGGGCACUAGUGCCCAGGCUCGCCGAGAUAUGGAAGCCUAUAAUAAUUGGCUUAAAAAGGAUCGCAUUGCUCGCAUCACGUUGCUGAGCAGUAUGCAGAAUAAUCUCUUGUGCGAGUGUGAGUAGUAUCCGACUGCGUAUGACAUGUGGGAGGCUCUCAAAGCAAAAUUUGGUGCAACUUCGGCUACAAGGUUGCGCAGUCUGACUAUGCGGUUUGACAGUUAUAAGAAGCGUGUCGAUCAGACUAUGAAGCAGCACGUUAGAACAAUGUCAAACAUGAUUCGCGAGUUAAAGUCGGCUGGCGGUACCUUGACUGAUGAGCAGCAGAUCCAAGCUACGAUUCGCUCUCUUCCCAAUUCGUGGAAACAUAUGCGAGUAAAUUUGACCCAUAACGAUAAUAUCAAAACUUUUGAGGAUGUUGCACGGCAUUUGGAGUUGGAGGAGGAGCGCCUUGAGGCUGUUAAAACUCCAACUGCCAAUGCUGCUGAGUUAAACUUUCGCAGGACAUCUGGGUUCAAGCGAAAGAGGACUACUGGGGCUCAAAAUCAUAGCGGAUCCGCGCCUAAGAAUGCGAAGAACACUAAAAGAAAGAGAAGCAAACGAGGUGGCAAGAAAGACAAGUCAAAGAUGACUUGUUUCAACUGUAAUCAGCUGGGACACUUCGCUCGUGAUUGCACUAAGCCGAAGAAGGUACAACUCUAUCCCGAUUCUCGCUCUUUUGUUUCUUCUAACACGUUUGUUGCUGAAUCUCUCCCUGUGUGGAUUGUAGACUCAGGAGCAAUAGACCACGUAGCGAGGGAUCGGAUGGGAUUCGUCGAGUAUCGUCGCGUGCCUGCUGGGAGCAGAAGAGUAUACAUGGGGAAUGAUUCAAGUAUCGAUGUGUUAGGCGUUGGCACAUACAAGUUGAUCAUGCAAGGUGGUCAAACUUCAUAUCUACAUGAUGUACUUUAUGCUCCAGGAAUUCGGCGGAACUUGUUUUCUAUUCUUGCUAUGCUAUAGUUAGGCUUUUCUUUUCGUUUUGAGAGUGAUGUAGUUAAGAUUCAUCUUGGAACUAUUUAUUAUGGAAGAGGUUUUAUGUCGAAUGGUUUUAUGGUUUUGGACAUUGAUUAUAAUAUUAAUAAUAGUGAUUCUUUUUCCCUGCUAUCUUCUGUUGAGAAUGAUCACAAUGUUUCAAUUAAAUGGCAUGCACGUCUUGGUCAUAUUGGGCAGGAUAGAAUGACUAGAUUAGUUAGAGACGGGUUAUUGAGCUCGCUCACUAAAGUCGACCUACCCACUUGUGAACAUUGUUUAGCGGGAAAAGCGACCCGAAAACCAUUUAAUAAAGCUUCAAGGGCAGAAUUUCCUUUACAAUUAAUCCAUUCCGACAUUUGUGGCCCAAUGAGUGUGAGGGCAAGACAUGGUGCUUUUUACUUCAUCACAUUUAUAGAUGACCAUACGCGCUUCGGUCAUGUUUAUCUGAUCUCCCAUAAGUCUGAAGCAUUGGAUUGUUUUAGACGUUAUAUUAAUGAGGUUGAGAAUCAGUUAGAUAUGAAAAUUAAAUGCUUAAGAACUGAUCGAGGCCGCGAGUAUCUAUCUGAACAAUUUAAGAAAUUGUGUGAUGAAAAGGGAAUAAUCAGACAGCUGACAAUUCCUGGCACUCCGCAGCAAAAUGGUGUAGCGGAGAGAAGAAAUCGCACCUUGCUUGACAUGGUUAGGUCAAUGAUGGCGCAAGCAAAUUUGCCUGUCUCCUUUUGGGGAGACGCAUUGUUAACUGCUGCCUACAUUCUUAAUCGUGUACCCUCCAAAACAGUACCUUCCACCCCUUAUGAAUUAUGGACAGGCAGGAAACCAAAUUUGGAGCUCCUGCGUCCUUGGGGUUCGGCAGCUUAUGUACACAAUACUUCUCACAAGGAUGGAAAGUUGGGUCCUAGAGGGAGAAAGUGUAUCUUUAUAAGAUACUCUGAACACUCUAAGGGAUACGUGUUCAUCGGAAAGCAGCCUGAUGGAAGUUUGACUGAGAUUGAGUCACGAGAUGUUGAAUUCCUCGAGGAGGAUUUUCCUUAUAGAAGUGAGGUUCGAAAUGAAACUGAGUUCCAUGAGAUGGAUGACUCUGACAUUGGCGCUUCUAUUCGCUCAGUUGAGGCAGAGGAGGCGACUCCGAUACCUCCUGGGGAUAGUGGGAGCGACUUACCUUUAGAUGUGGAGCCUCAACUUCGUAGGAGCGCACGUGUAGGCAUUCCCCGUCGUCGUUUUGAGAUUGAGGGGGAAGCUUUCAUGGUUGCUGCACAUGAUGAUGAUGAGCCUAGAUCCUUCCAAGAGGCUCUCUCAUUACCUACUCAUAAGGAAUGGAUGGAUGCAAUGAUGGAGGAAAUAGAAUCGAUGAAGUCAAAUCAUGUCUGGGACUUGGUUGACUUGCCACAAGGGCGCAAAACAAUUGGGAAUAAAUGGGUUCUCAAGAUUAAGCGCAAGGCAGACGGUUCUAUCGAUAGGUACAAAGCUCGCCUGGUAGCAAAGGGUUUUACCCAACGAGAAGGCGUUGAUUACGAGGAAACCUUUUCGCCUGUCGUGAGGUUUGCUUCGAUCCGCUUAAUCUUGGCCAUUGUCACAUAUUUGGAUUUGGAUCUUUACCAAAUGGACGUUAAAACUGCAUUUCUCAAUGGAGAACUGGAUGAGGAGAUCUAUAUGGAUCAGCCUACUGGCUUCUCUGUAAAGGGUGAGGAGCAUAAAGUUUGUAAGCUCCGACGAUCCAUUUAUGGAUUGAAGCAGUCCUCCAGACAGUGGUAUAUUCGAUUUCAUCGAGCCAUCACUGAAGAUGGGUUUACGAUGAUUGAAGAAGAUCACUGUGUGUAUGUUAAACGGUCCAAAGAAUUUUUUCUUAUCCUUUCUUUAUAUGUGGAUGACAUCUUAUUGGCCGGGAAUAAUAAGGAGAUGAUUGUCGCCACUCAGACGUGGCUGUCCUCUAAUUUUGAAAUGAAGGACAUGGGUGAAGCGAAUUAUGUGCUCGGAGUUAAGAUCCUACGAGAUCGUUCAAAGAAACUUUUAGGUCUGUCUCAAGAGACUUACCUAAGAAAAGUUUUAGAACGAUUUCAGAUGCAAAAUUGCAAACCCAUUGACACUCCUAUUGCUAAAGGUGAGAGUUUGAACCUUAAACAGUGCCCUAAAACUUCUGAAGAGAAGGACAAGAUGAAUCGGAUUCCAUAUGCUAAUGCGGUCGGGAGCCUGAUGUAUGCUAUGAUGUGUACUCGGCCUGAUAUAUGCUAUGCCGUGGGCUUGGUUAGCCAUUUUCAGUCCAAUCUGGGAUUGGACCACUCGAAGGCAGUGGCGCAGAAGAAAAUAAUCCUGGAACACAUAUCUACGAGUCGCGUGGUUGUAGAUUCUCUAACUAAGCCUGUUGUUAGAGAAUUAUUUUUGGGCUCAUGUUAAAGCUCUUGGACUCCGUAGGAUUUGAUUGUGUAGACAGUCGAUUAUUUUUUUGUAAUUUCUUGGUUAUUUAAUUACAAAUUAUUAUUCUGGAAAAGAUAUUUGGUAAAAUUAGUACACGUGCAUUAUUAUUAAACUGAUUGAUAGUAUGUCACAGGCUGAUUGGCCCUCUCACACGGGCAAUCAUUCUUUUCGGCGCUGUAGAGAGCGAGCGAAAAUUGAGGCAUUAAUAGAAGCCGCCUUGGUUGGCACCAAGAUGAGGUCAUUAAUGAGACCGCAUACGAAAAGUCCCACGAUUCGUAUGGCCUGCAUAUUGAGAGCCGGAUGUGAGCUCACCGUUUGACGCUUGAGAUAGCGAGCAAAUGGAGAACUCAGGCUAGACACUCUGGGAGUGACUGAGCUAAGAUCCGUAUGACAUUGAGAAAGACAUACGCUUAUUGGAUUCUCUGUCAUAGCAUGUAUUUCAUACUACAUGUGCUGGGCGACUAAAUAAAGAAGAUGAGUGAAUGGAUCCCUGCUUCCUCAUCGUGUGAGUUCUUACGGACAUUAUUUUGAGACGAUGUCCUAUAUAUGUUAGAUGCCCUUAGUGACUUUUGACUAUGUCAUUAAGUGAAAGAAUUGAUGUUGCUACUUUGGCAUGUUACCUACGGCUAUGAGUGAUGCGGCUUUACGGGGCAUUGCUGGGAAAGCAAUCAGUUCUCAACUCAGUGGCAUGAGGGCUCAAGGAAGACUAGUUGAAUUACAUUAAAACACUUUGACUCAUUGUCGACAGGUUGUAUCGCUUCAGUAUAGCGAAACAAUCAUGAGUAUAGUGUCAUAAUGUGCGCAAUUGCGGUUAGCAUGGCUCUUUGAGGGAUUAGAGAUGCUGAACCUGAUGUAAUUCAAUGGUCUAGGGCAUCACGAGUCUAAUAUUUUUUUCUUUUUGAGGGUUGAUGUCUCUAUGCUGGCCGGAUGCGGUUUCUAGUAUAGAGCUCCCAAAAUGCAGGUUGACUCGGCGGUCGCACUGUUCAUUUUCCUGUAUGAAUAGAAUUAAUAGUGGUGUGAUGUUGAGGAAGUGGUUACGAUGGCAUCGAUCCCGUCAUGUGCGAGUGGGAGAUGUUGGCAUUCGGUUAAAUAGAAUCGGGUACGCCCAUAAGCGGGUUCGAUCCGACGGAUAUUAUGUUAUCUAAUUGGAUUGGAAUUAAUCUCGCUUUCAAAUUGGAAAGUUAGUUAGAGAUAAAUCCUAGUCAUAUUAGGAUAACAAUUAAUAACCGAUUUGGCCUUAUCUCUAACGCCAUAAGGAUUUUGGAAUCCCUUAUAAAUAUGCGGGCGAUCCCACAUAACGUAAUAUACGGAAAGAACCGAAAAAGAAAGAGAAUAAGAAAAUAAUAGAGAGAAACCACAUCCUCCAUUGACCUAUUAUUCUAGAGGGACUUGCACGGUGGAUUUGCGAUCGCGCUCGUUUGUAGUUCGAUCCACCGCGAGUUUGUGGAGCGUGAGAAGACAUUCAAGGACGAUCCGAGGACACGUGAAUCAAUCUAAACGAUCCGGGCUCAUCGCGUUGUUGCACGAAUCGCUUCCGCAAAAGGUACGAACCAUAUUUCCGCUGCG
rnacentral:lncRNA from 1 species